GGGCCCAGACCUCCUACGGGAGGCAGCAGUGGGGAAUUUUUGGACAAUGGGGGAAACCCUUGAUCCAGCCAUCCCGCGUGUGCGAUGAAGGCCUUCGGGUUGUAAAGCACUUUUGGCAGGAAAGAAACGUCAUGGGCUAAUACCCCGUGAAACUGACGGUACCUGCAGAAUAAGCACCGGCUAACUACGUGCCAGCAGCCGCGGUAAUACGUAGGGUGCAAGCGUUAAUCGGAAUUACUGGGCGUAAAGCGUGCGCAGGCGGUUCGGAAAGAAAGAUGUGAAAUCCCAGAGCUUAACUUUGGAACUGCAUUUUUAACUACCGAGCUUGAGUGUGUCAGAGGGAGGUGGAAUUCCGCGUGUAGCAGUGAAAUGCUGUAGAUAUGCGGAGGAACACCGAUGGCGAAGGCAGCCUCCUGGGAUAACACUGACGCUCAUGCACGAAAGCGUGGGGAGCAAACAGGAUUAGAUAC
rnacentral:rRNA from 1 species